UAGCGAUAAGUCCUUUAUAGGUUGUUUAGAUGUUCCCAUCCAUCGGUUGGCUAAAGUCUAAACAUUCAAGCCUAUAGGGCACGCU
rnacentral:sRNA from 1 species